AUGUUAGUAUUUCAUAAGUUAACACAAACAGAUGAAUGUGUUUGUGUUCAGGGGAACGGUGGUAUUCCUGGACGAUCAGGCCUACCAGGAAGAAAAGGUGAACAGGGGGACAUUGGACCUCCUGGGGCCCCUGGCAUCCCUGGCAAAGAGGGGUUGGUGGGCCCCAAGGGUGACCGUGGAAUUGAUGGGAUUGCAGGACCCAAAGGAACUCAGGGAGAGAAAGGUGAAAGGGUGAGUUUCUACUUUCGCAUGUACCGCUCUGUGUGCUGCACCUGAUCUACAUAAUUUGCAGGUGCUGUCAAAUGUGCAGCGUCACUCACUCAAAAACCACAGGAAACCUUGAAAUACAUAACGAACUGUGUCUGUGCUUCACACAGGGCCCACCUGGUGUUCCUGGCCCUCCUGGUCCCAGAGGUGUAGAUGGGGCCUCUGGCCUGACUGGCCCCCAGGGACCAGCCGGUGCUAAAGGCCCUGAAGGUCUGCAAGGACAGAAGGGAGAGAGAGGUCCAGUUGGUCCUGCCACGGUCGGCCCUCGGGGCGUCCCAGGUAUUCCUGGAGAAAGGGGCGAACAGGUAAAUUGUCCCACUACUUCCCUUCUGUCACUUGGUGGCUCUUUGUCAAAAAGAAAUGAUUUACUGAAGUCAUGACAUUACUGUUUUUAUUACUCUACAACACAUUUAGCUACCGUAGCACUUGCAGGGAAGCAACCUUAAUCAUUUCAACCCUCAGCUGAAUAUUCGGUGACCUCACAUGCAAGGACACAAGCAUAUAGAGAAUAGAAAGACUUUAUCACUAUUGCUGACUUUACCUUCUUACUUUGACUUUGCAUGUAGUUCAUAUGCUGCACCUGGUCUCAGUCUAAUGAAUUAAUGCGCUGCAAGCCUCUCUGUGGGUCGGUGGCUUAAUACCUGUCCACGUUGCAGGGAGAGAUGGGCCCAGAUGGAGCCAAAGGAGACAGAGGAGAUCCGGGCAUGACGGUCAGUGCGUGAUCUCUUACCACAGGGCUCAAUCUGAAGACACUGACUUCAGACAGCAGACAUACUGUGCUGAUAUUGGCUUCGUGUUUGUAUAAGUGUGUCUUGUCCUGGUUUCUCUUUUCAUUCUGAAUUCAGGAGGAUGAGAUCAGAGAGUAUGUUCGCUCAGAGAUGAGUCAGCACUGUGGUGAGUCUUUCAUGCUACUUGCAUUGCUAAUUUUCGAGCAGCGUUGUCCCCAAGAUGAACUUCAGAUGGUAAUCGCAGCGUAUGAGUCACACGCUCGGCAAAACUAUACGAAAAACAAUACCACAAACGAAGCUGUAGAGAGCGACAGCAGUGCUGUGACGCUUUGAACUGACCGUUGUUAUUCCCUCUCUUUCUGCUUCCUUCCCGUCCAUCUGUCGGAUCCUCAGCAUGUGGAGGUGAGUGAGCCAUUUGACUGCAGCAGAGAGGAGAAAGGUGGACAGAAGGGCUGUGAUUUAGCAUGAGUCACAGUGAUACACUGUACCACAUAUGCUGCUGUAGUGAGAGCCGUCACUUCCAUUUAUUAUUUAUUUCGUCAAAGGCUGGAGUGUUUUCACCAGCAUGAAGCCACUGCAGAACCACCGCGUUUGCAUGUAGUUGGUUUGAUCUUUGUAUAUUUUACUGCAGAGACGACUGUUGGAGUCCACAAUGAUGUGGAGUGUGUUCAGGCAAUGUAGAAUAUUUAAAUUGGGAAGGUCGUUAAGAUAAGGAACUUCUCCAAAUGUUUGUGCCUGUUGUCAGAGCUGCUAAUCAAUGCAGGACCACAUCAGCGUUAUGAAGUAACAUUGGCAGAACAUGAGAUCAGUGAUGGUGAGGCCGGCUGUUAAUAAAUAUGCAGCGCCACUGAGAAUGAGGCCA
ensembl:lncRNA